rnacentral:rRNA from 1 species
GAUGAACGCUGGCGGCGUGCCUAAUACAUGCAAGUCGAGCGAACAGACGAGGAGCUUGCUCCUCUGACGUUAGCGGCGGACGGGUGAGUAACACGUGGAUAACCUACCUAUAAGACUGGGAUAACUUCGGGAGACCGGAGCUAAUACCGGAUAAUAUAUUGAACCGCAUGGUUCAAUAGUGAAAGACGGUUUUGCUGUCACUUAUAGAUGGAUCCGCGCUGCAUUAGCUAGUUGGUAAGGUAACGGCUUACCAAGGCAACGAUGCGUAGCCGACCUGAGAGGGUGAUCGGCCACACUGGAACUGAGACACGGUCCAGACUCCUACGGGAGGCAGCAGUAGGGAAUCUUCCGCAAUGGGCGAAAGCUUGACGGAGCAACGCCGCGUGAGUGAUGAAGGUCUUCGGAUCGUAAAACUCUGUUAUUAGGGAAGAACAAAUGUGUAAGUAACUAUGCACGUCUUGACGGUACCUAAUCAGAAAGCCACGGCUAACUACGUG